GUGGGCGGCAGCGCGCCGGGCGCUGGGGCGUGCCGGGGGGCCGCGUCUGGGGCGGGGGCGGCCGUGGCUGAGCUGCUGCCUUCUCCAAGGAGCUGAGGAGUCGGGGUGAAGCCUCCGCCCCUGUUCGUCCCCUGCCUGCCGUCUGCUGAUGCGCAUCUCCCACGUGUGCACGGGGGGCCGCGCCGACCGAGGGGGCCGCCGCCCUCCCCACGGCCCCCCGAGAAGCGCGAGGACCGAGAAGCGGAAAGUGCUUCUCCCGUCGGGCGAUGUAGUGAAUGUGCCCUCAGCCUCUUUCCCCCAUACCUGUUUGUAUCUGCAUGGGCCAGGUAUGGGGAGAGAGGUGUGUGUGUUUAUACGUCACAAAUUACAGCAGGAAUCUGCACAAGGACAGGCGUCUUUGCAUUCCAGACAGACUCUGGUGUCUUCCAUUUUGGGAUCUCCUUUGACGCGAGAGGACCCUUCACGCAGCGCUCUCCAUUCUCAAGGCCAGGCUGGGAAGUCGUUAGUUGCCCCGAAAAGAGCUACCUGGUAAUUAGACUAGAUCUGGAGGAAAUCGAAGGGGCCCGUCCCUUCUGGGCUCGGCCCAUAUGGAUUCCUGGCUCGCACAUUAUCCUGACUGGAGCCACACACGGCCAGGGAGGUCGUUAACUGUCAUCUGCCUUUGGCAUCUAGGGCCAAGGAAAAGCAGGUAAGAUGACCUUUACACAGCUGUUUAAUUUCUGCACUUCGGUGAGGAAAUAAAUUAACCCUACCUCCCAGAGCAUGAGAACCCAACUUACGAAACAAGACGACAGUCAAAAUUCUGUGUACAAGUUACGUGAGGCUUCUAGGAGGAGCCACCGGAAGCUGCCGACUAAGGAGCGGGUCAUCUAAUCCAGUUCUCUUUCUGGGCUGCACAUUCGGAGUUUAAAAACAUAGUGAAGCCUGUCCCCACCCACUAGGCCAGUUAAGUUAGUCUCCGAGGGUGGGGCCUUGGCAACAAAUUUUAUAACGGUCCGGAGGUGACUGCACUCUUCAGUGAGGGUUAAAUGACACUGGUUUAGCUACAGAGGAGGAUCUCUGUAGUUGUGAUAGAACUCCUAGAAUGCGAAGACUAAAAGAAACAGGAACAGGAAGGUUUAGUCCUUGCCCCGAGGUAAGCCAGGAUAUCCCAAUGAAUUAUUAAUUUAAGAAUGUUUUGUAACUCUUUUUAUUAGGAACCAGUUACUUAAUCAACUUAAACGCAUUAGAACAGGAGCACAAUAGAUCCCCCCGUCUAGUUACUGAGGCACAAAUGCUUUCUAUUAGCAAAACAUGCAUAAAUACACACACGCUAGAUGCCACACAGCAAAAUGCUGAUGUAUAGUAAUCCUAGUCAAGAAUAUAUUGUGAAUAUACAAAACUGGAAUAUAAAACUCCAAACUCCUGAAACCCACCUACUCCAGAUCCCUCAUUCACAGAGCAAAUUGCAGCUGAAAACAGUUCAAUUUUCCAAUGUCACCGAGUUGCUUAACAGCAUCACUGGAUUCCUUCAGCCCUUUGCGUCCUUUCCGUACCAUAGUGGACGGUGAAAAGGAAGAGUGUUUUGAGCGGCUCGCUGACUUCACUCGGAGUCCUCGGUACUUAACCAAAGGACAAGGCGGACUUCCUGGAAGAGUCAUAUGCCCGGGUGCAGUCUCUGAUGCUUGCUGAGAGCAGAGCGGUACCGGAAGGCUUUCCCACAGUCGCUACAUCCAAAGGGCUUCUCCCCUGAGUGGAUCCUCUGGUGCUGGAUGAGGUACGUGCUCUGGCUGAAGGUCUUCCUGCAUUCGUGACAGUUGUAGGGUUUCUCCCCCGUGUGCGUGUUCUGGUGUUCCGUCAGGUGGGUGCUCCGGCUGAAGGCCUUGUCACACUCACUGCACUUGUAUGGCUUCUCCCCGCUGUGGAUGCGCUGGUGCUGAGUCAGGUGGGAGUUCUGGCUGAAAGCCUUCUCGCAUUUGUUGCACUGGUAGGGCUUCUCUUCGGUGUGGGUCUUCUGAUGCUGAGCAAGGGAGGAGCAGUGCCGGAAGGCUUUGCCGCACUCAGCACACUCGUAGGGCUUUGCGCCUGUGUGAAUCCUCUUGUGCUGUGUGAGGUGGAUGUUCUGGUUGAAGGCUCUCCCACACUCGCUGCACUUAUACGGUCGCUCUCCGGUGUGUAUUUUCCUGUGCUGAAUGAGGGACGAGCCGUAACUGAAGGCUUUCCCGCACUCGUGACACUGAUAGGGCUUCUCGCCAGUAUGGAUCCUCUCAUGUUUGGCCAGAGAUGAACUCCGAAUGAAGGCCUUCCCACACUCCUUACACUCGUACGCCUUCUCCUGGGUGUGCGUCUUCUGAUGCUGGUUGAGGUUGGAGAGGUAACUGAAAGCCUUCCCGCACUCAGUGCACUCGAAAGGCUUCUCUCUGGUGUGGAUUCUCCGGUGCUGAGUCAGGGAGGAACAGUAGCUGAAGGCCUUGCCACACUCAGUGCAUCUGUAGGGUUUCUCUCCGGUGUGAAUCUUCAGGUGCUGAGCGAGCGACGACCAGUAACUGAAGGAUUUCCCGCACUCAGCACAGUCGUACGGUUUCUCCCCCGUGUGUGUUUUCUGGUGCUGGGUGAGGUUCGAGUGCUGACUGAAGGCCUUCCCGCACUCGUUGCACUCAUACGGCUUCUCCCCAGUGUGGAUCAUGUGAUGGCGGAUAAACGUUGAGGGCCCGUUGAAGGCCUUCCCACAUUCGUUACAUUUGUAGGUUUUCUCGCCAGUGUGAAUUUUCUGAUGCUGAGUGAGGUGGGUGCUCCUGGUGAAGGUUUUGUCACACUCAUCACAUUUAAAAGGUUUUUCUCCUGUAUGAAUUUUCUGAUGUUCCAUAAAGUGGCCCCUCUGGCUAAAGGCUUUUCCACACUCAUUGCAAGUAUACGGUUUCUCACCAGUAUGAAUUCUCUGAUGCUGAACAAGAUGGGUCCUCUGACUAAAGGCUUUCCCACAUUCAUCACAUUUAUAGGGUUUUUCUCCGGUGUGAAUUCUUUGAUGCUGAGUAAGAGAUGGGCCCUCAAUGAAGCCUUUUCCACACUGAUCGCAUUUAUACGGUUUAUCUCCAGUAUGAAUUCUUUGAUGGUUUAUAAGGUUUUCACUCCGGCUGAAGGCUUUUUCACAUUCAUUACAUUUGUAGGGCUUUUCUCCAGUAUGUGUUCUCUGAUGGCGAAUAAGAGCUGAACAAUAACUAAAAGCUUUCCCACAUUCGUUGCACUUGCAAGAUUUCUCUUUUUUAACCGGGUUUGUAUUCUGUUUGGUGCUUGUUUUAGUAGAGGUCUCUUCUGGGGAUUUUUCUUGUGUUACAAGGUUUGAACUCACACUGAUGCAUUUUUCAGAGUCCUUAGUUACAGGGCCUCUGUCCCACGUGGGUACUGUCUUUUCAGUGAUUUUUAUUUCUCUUGCCAGCGUCUGUUGGUUUGCCUGAUGCUUCUCUACGCUGCUUCCACACCCCCGGCUUUCGAAAGAGUUAGAACUGCAAGGAUCAUCCCUUUUGUGUUUCUCCACUACUGCCUCUUGACAUGGCUGCUCCUCAAAGAUGUUCAGCGCUCGGGCUGAACUAUUUUCUGGUCUUGUCUCGCAGUCUGAAAGAAAAAGAAAAUGUCUCUGUUCUCUAAAUAGAAGGGAACAAAUAGUUGCUGUUGUGGGAAGGACCUAAUGAAGCUAAAAAUAAAGCCCUCAGGAAAUCUCAAGGGUUUUCAAGUGUAGCCAAUUAUUUGGGGAGAAAGCUGGAAAGAGCGAAGGAUAAUGAUAAAUAAAAUAUGAAAGUGGCAAGAGAAAGUCUCACUCAGUUUCACAGAUAAUCUCGAAGAACCGGGAAGGUAAUAGUAAAUUAGAAGCUGACCACAGAGAUGGGAGAUGGCCGAGAGGAGACACCAUCAGACGAAGGAGGGCCACAAUCACCACCAUCGUCACUGCCAGCGUGCACCGGGAGGCAGAGACGCAGGACAGCCUCCCCCUGCCCAUCCCGGGCGCCCUGCCUACGGGCGUGACGUCUGGAAGCCCAGGGCGAAGCCGAACAGCCGAGCUCCCCCAGCACGGACCCGAAGAGUCAGGGGAAUGGCCAGCUGUGCAGUACGAGAAAUGGGUGUGUUUCCACUAAGGAGUAACACCAAGAAAGACCUAUUUGUACAGCACUUGGCCGUGAAGAAUACCUUCUGGAAGUAUUCCACAGUGAGGAACACAGAGAUCAUGGGGUCUGAGGCUGUUAAAGGGGAAACGGGUGUCCAGCCCAGAGGGGCAGGAGAAGGCAACAAACGUUAUCCACGUUGUCAUGUCUUAGAUCCGUGGCAAAGAAUGAAGGACUGGAGGGAGUUCCAGAAGGCCACACUGAGCAGCACUACUCCUGCUGCAGAAAGGAAUUCUCACUUUACUAAAGCAAAGCUGUGGGCCUCGACCACAACCCUACCACACCCCUGUACACUGGGCCCGAGAGACACAGCUCGGGUCAGGGUUACUGGUCAGGGUCCUGCAGGGGCCAGGUCUCCACUGGCCCAGAGGAGAGGGCAUGAGGAGGGUAAGGAGAAGAAUCCAGACAAGGCCCCGGACCAGCAGCCACCUCACUGUGGGUACUCCUACAACUCCCAAUUACCCGCACGUGUCUGUAAAGCUGUCCAUUGUUCUUACAGAGAUAAAAAGAGCCAAAUCCGCAGUUGAGAAUGAGUCCGCUCUGGAUGCUGAAGAGCGCAGGGCCAGGGGCUAGAGGCCAGCUUACCAAGACUACCAUCAUGUCUCAUUCCAGUAAUAAGAAGUCAACCAAGGAACGGGGCCAAAUAUUUCAAGUGUCUGUCUUCUGCCUACUGACCGGAUCCCUGGGACCAUCUACGUUAUCUACGCAACAGGAGGCGUCUAAUGUUAUUUUUACCUAAAUGAAUCUCUCUUUGGUAAUGACUAAAGCGUUUUGUGAAAAGUCUGGGAUUUUUCAGUACACAGUUAAAUAUUUUAAAAUUGCCUUCUAUCUGCUCAAGUUGGGAUCUUAAAAACUUUAAUUUGUAAUAAAACCUGACAACUCUUUUCCAAAAGUUAAGCAUGACUUAAUAAAGCUCUUAAUUUUUCUAAAAAAUCAUUUUUCUAAACUGUUCUGAGAAACCGUCUUCUAAGAGGAAGAUUUUUUUUUAAUUUAUUUAUUUAACAGAGAUAGAGAGAAAGCGUAAGUAGGCAGAGCGGCAGACAGAGGGAGAGGGAGAAGCAGGCUCUCC